CCUACGGGUGGCUGCAGUGGGGAAUAUUGGACAAUGGGCGAAAGCCUGAUCCAGCCAUGCCGCGUGUGUGAAGAAGGCCUUCGGGUUGUAAAGCACUUUCAGUGGGGAAGAAAGCCUUGGGGCUAAUACCCUCGAGGAAGGACAUCACCCACAGAAGAAGCACCGGCUAACUCCGUGCCAGCAGCCGCGGUAAUACGGAGGGUGCGAGCGUUAAUCGGAAUUACUGGGCGUAAAGCGCGCGUAGGCGGUCUGAUAAGCCGGUUGUGAAAGCCCCGGGCUCAACCUGGGAACGGCAUCCGGAACUGUCAGGCUAGAGUGCAGGAGAGGAAGGUAGAAUUCCCGGUGUAGCGGUGAAAUGCGUAGAGCUCGGGAGGAAUACCAGUGGCGAAGGCGGCCUUCUGGACUGACACUGACGCUGAGGUGCGAAAGCGUGGGUAGCAAACAGGAUUAGAUACCCUUGUAGUC
rnacentral:rRNA from 1 species